rnacentral:tRNA from 1 species
GGGUCGGCGGUUCGGGUAGAGCAGUUGACUUUUAAUCAAUUGGUCGCAGGUUCGAAUCCUGCACGACCCACCA